rnacentral:lncRNA from 1 species
AAAUGAUGUCAAGCAAGAUUUCUCUUGCUUUCUUUACUCUUAUAACCUUAUCCCUAAUCCUUCCCUCUCGUGCCCAAGACAACCCACAAGAUUACCUUGAUGCUCAUAAUACAGCUCGUGCAGCUGUAGGUGUUGGUCCACUAACCUGGGACACCACAGUGCAAGCCUAUGCACAAAAUUAUGCUAACCAACGUGCCGGCGAUUGCAACCUUGUCCAUUCAGGUGGACCUUAUGGGGAGAACAUUGCAUGGAGCAGCGCGGACCUUUCAGGUACAGAUGCUGUAAAAAUGUGGGUUGAUGAGAUGGCUUACUACGACUACAACUCCAACUCAUGUGCCUCUGGCCAGCAGUGUGGGCACUAUACUCAGGUGGUUUGGGGUAACUCUGUUAGCCUAGGAUGUGCGAAAGUGACUUGUAGCGCUGGAGGAACCUUCAUUGUGUGCAACUAUGAUCCACCCGGCAACGUUGUUGGGCAAAAACCUUACUAAACCUUUCUGAUUAUGAAAUCAGUGCUUCUAUUACCUGGAAUAAUAAUGAUAAAUAAGCUGAUUUAUAUUGGCAUUAAUUAAUAAAUGAUAGAAAAAUAUUUGCUACAUCUUGAUGAUAUGCUGGCAUACAGGAAGUUCGCGUGGUAUACGUUUGGAUGGUUUUUUUUAUAUAUAUAAUUAUGUUCAUAUAAUUUUAAUUACAGUCAGAAUGAUCACAUCUUAUGUGUUAUAGCAUCCACUUUCAAUUCAAAUUAUUAUUAAGUUGAACUAAAAUUGGAUGUUUUAGAAAGUGAAAAUUAAUCAUGCAUAACGCUCAUAUGCAUACUAGCAGAUUAGUUGCUUUUAUAUAUAUAUAUAUAUAUAUAUAUAUAUAUAUAUAUAUAUAUAUAUAUGAUAACAGUUUUUAUUUUAAAAUAAUACAUACACAAUUAAUCAUACUUAACUUAUAUCGAAGAAUAAGAUAAUGAAAUACUAGCUAGAAUUGAGCACCUGAUUUUGCUAAUUUGAUAUAUUCUAUAGUGAUAAAUAAUUGGUGUUAUAAUAGAAUUCGAUUGAGGUUAAAAGCUUUGUCUACGAAGAUAUUCAAAUUAAUAUUGAUAUAUUAAAAAGAAUUAAUACCUGAUUUUAUUAUUUGGAUAUGUUUUUAUUAUGAAAGAAUAUUCCUAGAGCUUAUCACAAAGAUCGAUUGGGCCAGAGUAUAAUUACAACUCCAAUUCAUGUGUUGGGAAAUAAAAAAUAAUUCAUUAAUUAGCGAUUGUUUGUCUCUCGUUGUCUUGGCUGUAAUAAUCCCUUUAGCUAGCUCAAGCUCAAAACUACUCUAAACAAGACUUCCUCAAUGCUCACAACAACGCUCGAGCACAGCUGGGUGUUGGACCUUUGGGAUGGAAUUAAAAUUAGCAAAAUUUGAAAAACCAUGAAAGUAAAAAAAAAUAAUAAUCUUGAAACAUAAAAUAUUAAAUCAUACCAGUCGCUAACAAAUUACUAAUCAGCUGAUCAUAGCACUAGUGUUAUUUAAUGAUACAAUUCAAUACAUGCAAAUCAAUAUUAAUACCUUAAAAAUAAUUAGAAAAAUAAUAUUAAUGGAUAUAUGAUAUUUUUUUCUCUAAUUUAUUAGGAUAUGAUUUUUUGAGGUAUUACAAUAAAUUUAAAGAGAAUUCAAAAAUACAUGUAAAAAAUUAUGGGUUGAGUCGAAUACGUACUUGGACGGAUAAAGAGACCAUUCAUCCUAUUUGACCCGACUUGACCGGGUGUGGAUCCAAUGUAAAUGAUGGUUAUAGGAAUACCGAGUUGGAUGCAGGUGCAAAACAACUCGACUCUCAACUCGACUCGGUCCAUUACCAUCCUAUUGGUUCUCUGCUUUUCCUGUCAUCAUCCAUUGGGUUAGUAGGUGCAAUCCAAGAUGCUACCUCAGUAAGAAUAGACUUAACUAUUCUUACACAUAUAAAUAUAUUUUAAAUAUAUUAUUAUAUGGAUUUAUCCAUCAUCUAAGAUUACAGAUCAGACUUAAUUUUUUACAUAUCAUUUUAUAGAAGCAUUAUUAAAAAUUUAUUUACAAUGAUGAAUUAAUAACUAUAUGUUAACAAAAUUCGCAUUCUAAAUUCAAAAAUACAAUUAGUUUGGUUCAUAAUCUUUUAUAUAUAUUAUUCUCAAUUAAGCUCGUUGGUAUUUUGAUCCUUUCUCUCUCCACACACACGUAUAGAGUAAUUUUCUCUCCCUCCCUGAUUUCCCUUUCUUUUCUUUCUUUUCUUUCUUCUUCUUCUUUUCCUUUGGAUACGAUGAGGUUUUUAUUUAAGCGGUCUACAAAAAUGGAGUUUUUAUAUUUAAUUUUUUCAGAUAUCGAUGCCAUAUAAUUAAUUUGUUAGUUAAGGUAAUUCACAUCUUAUGCCAUCUCUUGCGGUAACCAUUCAUUUAGAACAAAAUAUAUUAAGGAGAGCUGUUUUUUAAAGUAUAUUUUAUUUAUAAAUAUAUUAAAAUAAUAUUUUUUUAUAGUUUUUUAAUAAUUAUUUUUUAUAUCAGCAUAUCAAAAUAAUUAAAAACUAUAAAAAAAUUAAUUUUAAAUAAAAAAAUGAUUUCAAUUAAAAAAAAAACUCAAUUUGAAAUGCAAUUCUAAACAACAUAAGGGCCAUUUUUAGAAAAAUAAGUUGGCAUGGUGUAUUCAAAAUGAAGAUCAGAUAUCUUUCUUAAUAGACACUUUUAAUGAUGAUUUUAUAUAUUAAUAAUUUAAUCCAAAUCUACUUCCCAAAUUGGUGUCUCGAAAAUUGUUGCAUCGUAUGGGGUGGAUUCCCCUCGCACAGAGAACUCGCUCAUCCAAUGCUAAUAAUAAUAAUAAUAAUAAUAAUAAAACUCUUGGGAAAUUGACUGGCAAAUAUGGAUCUCCGCUUUUGGAAAAACUAAAAACUAGUUGUGUUACGUAAAUAAGAAUAAAUAAAAGACUAAUGCACUCAGUGUAUUAAAUAAAUCAAUAGCAAGCCUUUAAAUAGGCUGUACAGUAGCAAGGAAAUAGGAACAGAAUAAUAAUAAAAUCUCCACUAUCUAAAACGUGGAUGGAACUCCUAUAGAAUAGGUCUUUCAUUACUUAUUCCAGAUAAACUCAAAAGCAUAAUCAACAUAACUUAUUUUAACACCUUUCCUUAAACUAAUAUCUGUAGAUAGGAAUUAACAGCUGCUACUCCUUCUCUAAUGACAUCUUUUGAAGAGCACAGUCCAAGGAGAUUUCGAAGCUUGACAAAAAUUGCAGGCUUAAGAGGCUUAGUUAAUAUAUCUACAAUCUGAUCUUCACUCUUGCAGAACACCAGAUUAAUAACACCUUCCUUACAUAGAUCACGUAGGAAGUGAAACCUGACAUCAAUGUGUUUGUUUCUCCCAUGAAAUACUGGAUUCUUUGAAAGCUUUAUGGUGGACAUGUUAUCACAAUAGAUUAAGGUUGGACCUUGGUGCUGGUUGUUUUGUAAGAACUCAAGUAAUCUGCGUAACCAGAUUGCUUGACUUGAAGUUGAUGCUGCAACAACAAAUUCAGCUUCAGUGGUUGAUAAAGCUACUAUCUGUUGUUUUUUCGAAGACCAUGAAACAACUCCAGAAUUCAACAUGAACACCAAUCCGGAAGUACUUUUUAUCAUCCAUGCAUCUGAAUUUUGUAUCUUUAUACUCUUAUAACUAAUAUUUAUUAGUGAGACGUAAUCUUUUAUAUGCUUUUUAAGAAUUUUUCAUUCUUAUAUGUGUUCUUGUAUAUAAAUAUUUUUUUCUCGUGUGUGUGUGUGUAUAUAUAUAUAUAUAUAGCACUAAAAUAUCUUUCAAACUAUAUAUAUAUUUUUUUCUAACACUUAAAAAACAUCAAUGAUAAAAAAACUUAACAAAAUUUAAAAAAUCAAUAAAAUAGAGAAAAAAAAACUAGAAACCUAUUGUAACAUCUCAAGAAACUAAAAUAAAUCAUGAAAAUAUAUAUACAAAACACGUAGGGAACUAAGAUAAGAUUCAUUGUCAAAUUUAAUAAUUUUAUGUAUGAAAAGUUUUGUUGGUGUUUAUACUUACAGUUUUAUAUUGAAGAAUUCUAUCAAUGUUUCAAUUUAUAUUUAUCAAUUUUGUAGCCGUGGUUGUUUGUAGAAUACAAGACGAACAAGAUAUGUACUAAUUGAAAUACAAAGUACUAACCUAUCAAUAAGAAAUUUUGUAAGCUAGUUGCAUUUUAUUAAUUACUUCCAGAUUUAUUUUGAAAAAAAAAACAACAUAAGAAAACGAGAAAAUAAAAUUUAUUAUUAAAAUUUUUUUUGAUAAAAACAUCUAGAUUUCUUUCUCCGCUUAUACUUUUUUAUAAUUUUAAAAUGAAUCCUAAAAAGUAACUACUCUAAUUACUAAAAAAAAAUUUGAAGGAUUUUAGAAAGAUUAUUUGAUCAGUUUUUGCUCGAUUCUAGCAUGUUCCGCAAUUGACGAUGAGCCAAGGGAGGUAUAGUGUUUUUUUUACAGACUAUCCGGGUGCAUAACUUUACACGAAAAAGAAACAGAAUAGUCAAGAGUCUAAGACUAUGUUUGGUAACGAGGAUGCAACCUGUUUGGUAAAGAAAAAUAAAUAAUUUACAGUGUAUGGACCCUACAUGUUUUUACGUCUGAGACGCAGGAAAAAAAAAAGCAGCAAAAUGCUGCUUUUUACUCACUGCUCAUACUAAUUGCACUGUUCACUAAACAGUGCAAUUAUCAUGAACAAUGUACAUUGAUACACUGUUCACGUGAACAGUGCAAGAUAAUUGCAUUGUUCACUUAAAAAACAAUGAACAGUGCAAUUCACUUGCACUGUUCACGUGAACAGUUUUUUUCAGUGUGUUAAUUUUUUUAACAGUUUUUUUUUUAAAAAUAAAACUAGUUUAGAGUGAAUUAAAUUCACUCACACUGUGAUGUGAACAAUAUUUUUUUUCCCGAAAAACUAGUAUAUAGUGAAUUAAAUUCACUCGCACUGUAAUAUCAAUUUUAUAUCUGAUAAUGUUUUAUCUAAUUUUAUUACACUCUCAAAAAAUUAUGAAAACUGUAGUUCUUAUCGGAUGAAUUUUGUACGUAAUGGAAUUAUAAAUAGUUUAAUGAAAUAAUAAAAAAUAUUUUACAUAAAAUAUUAUUUAUUUCAUGAUGUAAUAGGAGUAAUUAAUUCUACAAUAUUUAAAUAUAAAACCAUCAAUAUUAAUAUAUAUAUUUUUAAAUUAUUUUAUAACCUCAAUUUCAAAAGCAUUCUUAAUCAAACACAUUAAACUACUUUUUCUUCAACCUCAGUUUCAACCACAGUUUUAACUAAACACCUAUUUUUUCAAACCAACCUCAACUAAAAAUACUUUUUAUAAAACAACUUUUUUCAAACCACAACCACAACAGCUACCGCAAUACCAAACACAUAAGUCGUCCAUUUCAAAAAAAUAAUCCAGUACUGUCUGCUUCUGACUAAAGGAUCUUUUUGAAGUUAUCUAGAUAUAGAAUCAAUUUAAAAAUAUUUUUUUUCCACACUAAUUCUGGUAUUGCAACUUGGCAUUAUUUUAAGUUGGAAAUUCUAUCAAUCACUCAACAAUUUGAAAAGAAAAAAAAAGUGUAUAGAAAGCACGGGUUUGUUAUUAUAUAUAUAUAUAUAUAUAUAUAUAUAUAAAAAGCAUUUUAACUAUUUGUUUUUUUAAUUGCUGUUAUUAUUAUUUUCACCUUACAUAUAAAAUUUUAAAAUUUUAAUUGAUCAACAAGUUGUAAAUUUAGAUAGUUUAAUUGGUGAAAUUCUGAAUUUGUUUUUCAGAGAUCAUUAAUUUGAGUGUCACAAAUCUCAUAACCACUAGAAGUUUAUAUUGUCGUUAACUUCAAGGUCUUUAAGGAUUAGUCGAGGUAUACGUAAAUUGAUCCAGACUUUUAUUAUUAAAAAAAAAAAAAAAAACUAGCUGAUGUUCAAAACAGCCCAGGUGUUCCUAUCAUGUUAAUCCAUGUUACACGGCACUUCUUUGUUUUGAGAUGCUGCCACCACAUGCUUGACCUCAAAAAAAACAAAAACCUUCACUUUUUUUUUUCUGUCUUUUGGGGUCUUGACUCAUGGUCAAGAGAUAAAACACGUUCGGAUAUUCUCGAAUAUGCUAACUUUUGAUGGGCGUGUUACACGCUCUUCUUCUCUUAAUUUUAUGAGAGGUAAUAUAUAUUUUCGAAUAAAUUCGGCAAAUAAAGAUUGAAUUAUUUUUGUCAUUCUGCUAAGGUCAGUUAUUGCUAAAACUUUAAGAUUCAUGAGAGCUUUAAUAUCCCAAAAAGGAGAUAUAUCCCUAAAAAUCAGGCUAAUAUUCCCUCGUAUUCAUGUUAAUAAUCCAUUUUGUAUAUCAUGGUUAAUUUGUAGGUUUAAAAGAAGAUUUUUUAAAAAGAAAUUCUUUGAAUGAUUACAUGUCACUAGGAAAUCAAUUAGUUGUUCGGUAAUUUUCUUUGAAUGAUUCCACCAAUAGCAUGUCCUUCCUAAAAUAUAAGGCAACAGACAAAAAUCUAAGAGCUUAUUAGGCUUUUCAUCUAAUUAAAAAAAUUGAAAAUAUUAAUUUGAUGAUAAAGGAGAUUUUUUUUUUAAAAUAGAAUUCAAAUCUUAUAAUCAAUAUUUACAAAGAUUUAUUAAAUUUAUUUGCAUACAUCAUACCGAUAAUAUUUUUAAUUAAAAUUAUCUUGAAAAAAACGUAACUUUUAUAUUCUUCUUUUUAUUAAAUAAAAAAAAAUUAUUAAGAUAAUGACACAUAACAUGGUAGACCAGUGUGAAAAUUAUGAAUGAAAUUAUUGGAUUGGUGGAGUGUUAGUGGUUCUCUUCCUUGCCAUGUGAAUGAUCUAUUACAUCAGUGACCCAACCUAGUGUUUGAAAAAUUCCAGUGUAAGACUUGGCCUAUACUUUCUUGUUUUGUUGUGUUAGCUAAAAUAUAUGGCUCACAAAGAAUAAGAUUAUCUUCAAUAUUGGAACUGCGACUUUUGAAGACAGUUUCUCCUUGAUUUUAUAUCGUCUCUCAAAUUGGCUCAAAUCUGCAGAUAAGUUUUUUAUAGCUACUAGAACUGAUUUAUUUAUGGGGCCUAAAUGUAUUAUAGAUUGGUCUAACAACACCAAAUAAAGAUUUUAAACAUGGCGCAUCAACUCUUUUAGUCCUUAUGCUUGUUUUCUAAUCUUUAUCUGUCAACUUUUUAUUUUUCAUUAUCUGCCUUUUUUUUUUUAUCUGUCAACUUUCUAAUCCUUGAUUAUUCCUUAUGCUACAUUCUACUUAGUCCUUUUAAGAUAUCGAAUUCUUUCGGAAAAAAAAAAAACAGAGAAAGAGAGCAGAUAAUUACAUAAAACUUACUACCUCGCGAUGAAAUCCUAAGAUGAAAUCCAGCAAGAAAAUGUCUUAGUAAUUGAACACAUUGAUCAGGCACGACCAUAUGUAGUCAGCAUCGAUUUAUUCAAGAAAAUCGACUUAGAAUUUGGCAUCUAUGGUAAUAUUCAAAUAGAAAUUUAUUUUUUCUAAUUAAACUUUUUUAGGUUAAAUAAUCAAUUCAACUUAAAAACUUAAAAUAUUAAAUAAAAUUUUAAAAUAUAUUUUAUAUUAUUCUUUAAUAUACUCUUUCAAAUAAAAAAAAUUUUAAGUUUGAAAUUUGUAUAACCUCAUAUUAUUUUGUACUUAAUUUUUAUAAAAAAAAUAAAAUAAUAAGAUUCGAACUCAUAAUUAAUUGGUUAUCAAAGUUUUAAUGUCAUGUUAAAAACUAAUUCAACCAAAAAAUAGAUCCUAUGUAUAAUUUAUAAUACUCUACAUAAAUUAAACCAUUUGAUCGAAUCACUUGCUGCCAAAACAUCCAUACAUUUUCAUCCAAUUAAUGUGAAGCCGACAUUUCUUCAACUUUUCCAAGGGACUUGCUUUGGAGUCCGUCAUUUAACGCUAUUGUUUUGAACAUUACACAGCUGCUAAAUGGAUAGUUCAUAAUAAAAAAAAUAGUAUUUUGAUUUUUUUUUGUUUGUUUUUUAUAUUUCAAAGUAAAAGCCAAACAAAAUACUAAAAUAUCUUUUCUUUUCCAAAAAUAUUAUUCUUACAUAUCUUUUAAAAAAACUAAAAUUAACAAAGUAGGGCCAACAAAAGAAUAAGCCAAUUAAAUAUAGCCACGUGGAAAAAAAAUAACAUCAAAAUUAUUAAAAAAAAUAAAACACUUAUUUAUUCUAAAUUGGCUUUUCAAAUAGCUUUUUUCCAUUGAAGUACUAUACAUGAUAAAAUAAAAACUAUAUUUAUACUAUUUAAAAUACUAUUACAUCAAUUUACCUUUUUAAAAUAGCUUCUCCCAUCAGAAAUAGUGUAACGCCUAUAAAUACCGUUUGAGCUCUCAUUGUUAUUUCAUCCAUCACCUACGAAAUUCUUUUGCGUGAUAAAAAAAGAGAGAGUGUGCAAAAUGAUGUCAAGCAAGAUUUCUCUUGCUUUCUUUACUCUUAUAACCUUAUCCCUAAUCCUUCCCUCUCGUGCCCAAGACAACCCACAAGAUUACCUUGAUGCUCAUAAUGCAGCUCGUGCAGCUGUAGGUGUUGGUCCACUAACCUGGGACACCACAGUGCAAGCCUAUGCACAAAAUUAUGCUAACCAACGUGCCGGCGAUUGCAACCUUGUCCAUUCAGGUGGACCUUAUGGGGAGAACAUUGCAUGGAGCAGCGCGGACCUUUCAGGUACAGAUGCUGUAAAAAUGUGGGUUGAUGAGAAGGCUUACUACGACUACAACUCCAACUCAUGUGCCGCUGGCCAGCAGUGUGGGCACUAUACUCAGGUGGUUUGGCGUAAUUCUGCUCGCCUAGGAUGUGCUAAAGUGAAGUGUAGCACCGGAGGAACCUUCAUUGGGUGCAACUAUGAUCCACCCGGCAACUAUGUUGGGCAAAAACCUUACUAAACCUUUCUGAUUAUGAAAUUAGUGCUUCUAUUACCUGGAAUAUUAGUGAUAAAUAAGCUGAUUUAUAUUGGCAUUAAUUAAUAUAUGAUAGAAAAAUAUUUGCUACAUCUUGAUGAUAUGCUGAUUGCUGGCAUACAGGAAGUUCACGUGGUAUACGUUUGGAUGAUGUUAUAUAUAUAUAUAUAUAUAAAUAUAAUUAGCUUCUUAUAAUUUUAAUUAUAGUCAGAAUGAUCACAACUUAUGUGUUAUAGCAUCCAUUUUCAAUUCAAAUUAUCACUACAAGAUUUAACAGUUUUACCGACGGAAUUUUUUCGUUGGUGUAAGACACAUAUUCCAUCGGUAAUUAUAUUACCGACGGAAUCACAGAUGGAACAUACGCGUCGGUAAUAAUAUUUUUUAUUACCAACGGAAUUACCGAGGGAUAUACCGACGGAAUUACCGACGGAAAUUUCGUCGGUAAUUAUAUAAAAACAUUUUUAAAAAAAUUAUUUUAUAAAAUUAUAAAAUAAUUAAAUUAACAUAAAUCAACACUCUAUAAUAUAUACUCAAAAUGCUUGGAAAAAAGAAUAAGAAAAUCAACUCAAACAAAUUUGUAACAAAUAAAUAAAACAAAAAAAUAAAUUCAACUAAAAAAAUUCAUAUGAAAAAAAUAAAGUUACAAUUGCUAAAAAUUUAAAAAUCCCUAUAAAUAAAUCAACUAAAAAUUGAUCUCAUAUGAAAAAAAAAAUCUCACAACAACAUUUAUACAAUUAUUAAGAACACAAAAAAUUAAAAAUAAAAUAAAAUAACAAAUAUAGUGAAAAAUAUCAUGAAAAAAGAAGGAAAAAAAAAAUCUUACCUUAAUGUAGUUGCAAGUGAAGCUAAGGAGAGAAAAAUAAAUCGUAAAGCAUAUUAAUUAAAAAAAAGUAAGAAGAUAAAAGAAGAAAGAAGAAGAAGACAUACCCCGAGCAUAGAGGGAAAGAGAAGGAGAUGAGGAGAGAAAAGAAGAGAAAGAAAUAGAUAUUGAUGUUUUUUACAUAUAGUGAAGAAGAAGAAGAAGAAGAAAAGUAGUAGAAGAAGAAUAAUAAGAAAUGAGUUUAUCUCUUAUGAAAUAAGGGGAUCCAGACUUUUUAUUGAGGCGUGUUAGCGACGGAUUUACCGACAGAUAAUUGAAUAUUAAUAUUUUUUAAUUAUUCCGUCGGUAAUUCCAUCGGUAAUAUUUAAUUUAAAUUUUCAAUUUCAUAAAAAGUUUUCAGAAACCGCCAACAAUUACCGAUAAUUUUUCAAUCCGUCAGUGAUUCCGUCUGUAAUAUUAUACUUCAAUUCAUGUGUUGGGAAAUAAAGAAUAAUUCAUUAAUUAGCGAUUGUUUGUCUCUCGUUGUCUUGGCUGUAAUCAUCCCUUUAGCUAGCUCAAGCUCAAAACUACUCUAAACAAGACUUCCUCAAUGCUCACAACAACGCUCGAGCACAGGGUGGGUGUUGGACCUUUGGGAUGGAAUUAAAAUUAGCAAAAUUUGAAAAACCAUGAAAGUAAAAAAAAAAAAAAAAUCUUGAAACAUAAAAUAUUAAAUCAUACCAGUCGCAAACAAAUUACUAAUCAGCUCAUACCACUAGUGUUAUUUAAUGAUACAAUUCAAUACAUGCAAGUCAAUAUCUAGUAUUAAUACCUUAAAAAUAAUUAGAAAAAUAAUAUUAAUGGAUAUAUGAUAUUUUUUUCUCUAAUUUGGAUAUGAUUUUUUGAGGUAUUACAAUAAAUUUAAAGAGAAUUCAAAAAAACAUGUAAAAAAUUAUGGGUUGAGUCGGAUAGGUACUUGGACUGAUAAAAAAAACCUUUCAUCCUAUUUGAUCCGACUUGAGCGGGUGUGGAUCCAAUGCAAAUGAUGGUUAUAGGAAUACCGAGUUGGAUGCAGGUGCAAAACAACUCGACUCGGUCCAUUACCAUCCUAUUGGUUCUCUGCUUUUCUUGUCAUCAUCCAUUGGGUUAGUAGGUGCAAUCCAAGAUGCUACCUCAGUAAGAAUAGACUCAACUAUUCUUACACAUAUAAAUGUAUUUUAAAUAUAUUAUUAUAUGAAUUUAUCCAUCAUCUAAGAUUAUGGAUCAGACUUAAUUUUUUACAUAUCAUUUUAUAGAAGCAUUAUUAAAAAUUUAUUUACAAUGAUGAAUUAAUGACUAUAUGUUAACAAAAUUCGCAUUCUAAAUUCAAAAAUACAAUUAGUUUGGUUCAUAAUCUUUUAUAUAUAUUGCUCUCAAUUAAGCUCGUUGCUAUUUUGAUCCUUUCUCUCUCUCCACACACACACACGUAUAGAGUAAUUUUCUCUCCCUUCCUGAUUUCCCUUUCUUUUCUUUCUUUUCUUUCUUCUUCUUCUUUUCCUUUGGAUACGAUGAGGUUUUUAUUUAAGCGGUCUACAUAAGUGAAGUUUUUAUAUUUAAUUUUUUCAGAUAUCGAUGCCAUAUAAUUAAUUUGUUAGUUAAGGUAAUUCACAUCUUAUGCCAUCUCUUGCUGUAACCAUUCAUUUAGAACAAAAUAUAUUAAAGGGGCUGUUUUUUAAAGUAUAUUUUAUUUAUAAAUAUAUUAAAAUAAUAUUUUUAUAGUCUUUUAAUAAUUAUUUUUUAUAUCAGCAUAUCAAAAUAAUUAAAAACUAUAAAAACAAUUAAUUUUAAAUAAAAAAAAAUGAUUUCAAUUUAAAAAAACUCAAUUUGAAAUGUAAUUUUAAACAACAUAAGGGCCAUUUUUAGAAAAAUAAGUUGGAAUGGUGUAUUCAAAAUGAAGAUCAGAUAUCUUUCUUAAUAAAAACACUUUUAAUGAUGAUUUUAUCUAUUAAUAAUUUAAUCCAAAUCUACUUCCCAAAUUGGUGUCUCGAAAAUUGUUGCAUCGUAUGGGGUGGAUUCCCCUCACACAGAGAACUCGCUCAUCCAAAUGCUAAUAAUAAUAAUAAUAAAAAACUCUUGGGAAAUUGACUGAUAAAUAUGAAUCUUUGUUUAUGAUGUGCGCAAACUGAUCCAAACAUCCACAUUAAAUUAAAAAAAAAAACUAGUUGAAGUGUAUAGACAAAUUGGUAAUCAAUAGAUGGCUGGAAAAAUGGAAAACCAUUUUGAAAAUCGUAAUCCUAUGAUAUAAAUACUAUAUUAUAAUAAGAUGAAUAAAAUCAGAUAUGCAUACAAAAAUGAUUGAGGAUUUAAUAACUUUACUAUUAUAUGUGAAUUCACAGUUUGCUUUGUGCCCAUGAUUAAGAAGAACAAAGAAAAAAAACGAAGGAAAGAAGUUGCUCUGUGCCUGGAAUGGAGACGGCUAGGUUACAAGUAGUCAUUUGCGUUCAUGUCUCCCUGGCCCAGGCUUCUGCCGAUGAUUUUGUUAAAGCCCAUAACGAAAUUCGUGUACAGGUUGGGGAUGUCCCGAUUUCUUGGAACAAAAACAUUGGCAGCCGGAGCCUGUUUGGGCAAGGGAACUUGCUAUACCAAGGAUCUCCUGCUGCAAUUUAAUCGAAGACAUGUUCACUGAAGGCCUCUUAUCCUUUGACUGCGUCUGAAGCUGUUGGGUUGUGGUGCCAGCGAGAAACCUUCCUAGGAUUAUUUUGCCUAGUCAAAAAUUUUACAUGAGUUUUUUUUUUUAAAUUGGAUUUUAAAUAUUCAUAGCAAGCUAUCUAAUGCAUAAAUUUAUUAACGGGAGAGAUUUUCACUGUAUAUUUUUUACUGUGCAAAAUUUUAUUUUAUUUUUUUUCAAUUUAAUCCUUAAACUUUGUUUUUUGCAAUCAAGUCAAAGAGCAAUUAAUUUCAAAUUCUUAUGAAAAGGUGAGAUUGAAAGGGGGAGGACUGAAAUUAAAAAUACGGCAAACAUAGGUGACGUAUCACAAGUUUAAAAAACAUUUACUUUGGUCCUCCAACUUAAAUAAUCACGCAAAUUAUACAAUUACAGUUCAUUGAAAUUGUUCCAAUUCCAUUUUGGUACAUAGAUUUAUUUUUAUUAAUUUUUAUCCUUAGUCGAGAGAGGAGAGAGAGAGGGGUCGCCGGACCCCGUUAAUAGAGAGGGAAAAACUUGUCAUCGGCACCGAUUUAGACCAUAAAAAUAAAAGAUUUUUACGUCAAAUUGUUUUAUUUGAAACGGAGAAUUUAUAUUAAGUGUUUUUAUAUCUUAAAAGUUCUUGAAAAAAUAUAUCUGAAUUCAAAUUAAAGACAAUAGAAAGUGAUGACAUGUAUCGAGGUUUACUCUUAUGCAAUUAAUUUCUAGAAUAUCCAUGCAUCUGAAUUUUGUAUCUUUAUACUCUUAUAACUAAUAUUUAUUAGUGAGACGUAAUGUUUUAUAUGCUUUUUAAGAAUUUUUCAUUCUUAUAUGUGUUCUUGAAUAUAAAUAUUUUUUUCUCGUGUGUGUAUAUAUAUUUUUAUCUUUAGCACUAAAAUAUCUUUAAAACUAUAUAUUAAUUUUUUUUCUAACACUUAAAAAACAUCAAUGAUAAAAAAAACUUCACAAAAUUUAAAAAAUCAAUAAAGUAGAGAAAAAAAACUAGAAACAUAUUGUAACAUCCCAAGAAACUAUAAUAAAUCAUGAAAAUAUAUAGACAGAACACGUAGGAACUAAGAUAAGAUUCAUUGUCAGAUUUAAUAAUUUUAUGUAUGAAAAUUUUUGUCAUUGUUUAUACUUACAGUUUUACAUUGAAGAAUUCUAUCGAUAUUUCGGUUUAUAUUUAUUAAUUUUAUAACCGUGGUUGUUUGUAGAAUUCAAGACAAACAAGAUAUGUACUAAUUGAAAUACAAAGUACAAACCUAUUAAUAAGAAAUUUUUGUAUGGUAGUUGCAUUUUGUUAAUCACUUCGUAGUUUAUUUUGAAAAACAAAAUAUAAAAGAACAAGAAAAUAAAAUUUAUUAUUCAUAAAAAAAAUGAUAAAAACAUCUAGAUUUCUUUCUCCACUUAUAUUUUUUUUAUAAUUUUAAAAUGAAUCCUAAAAAGUAACUACUCUAAUUACUAUAAAAAAAAUUUGAAGGGUUUUAAAAAGAUUAUUUGAUCAGUUUUUGCUCGAUUCUAGCAUGUUCCGCAAUUGACGAUUAGCCAAGGGAGAUAUAGUGUUUUUUUUUACAGACUAUCCGGGUGCAUCACUUUACACGAAAAGGAAACAGAAUAGUCAAGAGUCUAAGUCGUCCAUUUCAAAAAAAAUAAUCAAGUACUGUCUGCUUUCUGACUAAAGGAUCUUUUUGAAGUUAUCUAGAUAUAGAAUAAAUUUCAAAAUAAUUUUUUUCUACACUAAUUCUGGUAUUGCAACUCGGCAUUAUAUUAAGUUGGAAAUUCUAUCAAUCACUCAACAAUUUGAAAAAAAAACAAAGUUUAUAGAAAGCACGGGUUUGUUAUCAUAAAAAAAAAAAACUAGCAUUUUAACUAUUUCUUUUUUUAAUUAAUAACCAACUUUCUGUUAUAAUUAUUUUCACCUUACAUAUAAGCUUUUAAUUGAUUAGACUCAACCAGUUGUAAAUUUAGUAUAGUUUAAUUGGUCAGAUUCUGAAUUUAAUUUUUAGAAAUUAUUAAUUUAAGUGAUACAAAUCUCAGGACCACUAUAGAUUUACAUCGUUAACUUCAGGAUCUUAAAAAUUUAGUUAAAGUAUACGUAAACGAGUUCGAACACCACCGUUACAAAAAAAAAAAAAAAAACUAGCUGAUGUUCAAAACAGCCCAGGUGUUCCUAUCAUGUUAAUCCAUGUUACACGGCACUUCUUUGUUUUGAGAGGCUGCCAACACAUGCUUGGCCUCAAAAAAAACAAAAACCUUCACUUUUUUUCUGUCUUUUGGGGUCUUGACUCAUGGUCAAGAGAUAAAACACGUUCGGAUAUUCUCGAAUAUGCUAACUUUUGAUGGGCGUGUUACACGCUCUUCUUCUCUUAAUUUUAUGAGAGGUAAUAUAUAUUUUCGAAUAAAUUCGGCAAACAAAGAUUGAAUUAUUUUUUUCAUUCUGCUAAGGUCAGUUAUUGCUAAAACUUUAAGAUUCAUGAGAGCUUUAAUAUCCCAAAAAGGAGAUAUAUCCCUAAAAAUCAGGCUAAUAUUCCCACGUAUUCAUGUUAAUCCAUUUUGUAUAUCAUGGUUAAUUUGUAGGUUUAAAAGAAGAUUUUUUUAAAAAAAAAUUCUUUGAAUGAUUACAUGUCACUAGGAAAAUCAAUUAGUUGUUCGGUAAUUUCUCAAGAGAAAACAAGAAAAGGUGUCAUGUUUUAGACGCAACAAUGGAAGCGGCGUGAUUUGUGGAACAAAAACUUGCUAGGACAAGAACAAGAUUAGUGCAAGCAGGCGGUAAGAAAGAAGAAAAACAUAGGAAAUUCAAAAUGCCAUAUAAUAAUUCAAACUGAAGUAAUCCCAGACCUCCCACUCAUCUAAAAAUUAAUUAAUCAGUCCGAGUUUUGAUUCAACUGAACAUACACCAAUACCAUGUCCUCCCUAAAAUAUAAAGCAACAGACAAAAAUCUAAGAGCUUAUUAGGUUUUCAUCUAAUUAAAAAAAUUGAAAAUAUUAAUUUGAUGAUCAAGGAGAUUUUUUUAAAAAAAAAUUGAAUUCAAAUCUUAUAAUCAAUAUUUACAAAGAUUUAUUAAAUUUAUCUGCAUACAUGCAUCAUACGAUAAUAUUUUUAAUUAAAUUAUUUUGAAAAAAACAUAACUUUUAUAUUAUCCUUUUCAUUAAAUAAAAAAAAAUAUUAAGAUAAUUACACAUAACAUGGUAGACCGGUGUGAAAAUUAUGAAUGAAAUUAUUGGAUUGGUGGAGUGUUAGUGGUUCUUUUCCCUGCUAUGUGGAUGAUCUAUUACAUCAGUGACCUAACCUAGUGUUUGAAAAAUUUAAGUGUUAGACUUGGUCUAUAUUUUCUUGUUGUGUUAGCUAAAGUAUAUGGCUUACGAAGAACAAUGUUAUCUUCAAUGUUGGAACUGCGAUCUUUGAAGACAGUUUCUCCUUGAUUUUAUAUCGUCUCUCGAAUGAACUCAAAUCUGCAGAUAAGUUUUUCAUAGCUACUAGAACUGAUUUAUUUAUGGGGUCUAAAUGUAUUAUAGAUUGGUCUAACAACAUCAAAUGAAGGCUUUAAACAUGACACAUCAACUCUUUCAGUCCUUAUACUUUUUUUCUAAUCUAUAUCUGUUGGCUUUUUAUUUUUUAUUAUCUGCUUUUUGUUUUUAGAUUAUUCUGUUUUGUUUUUGUUUUUUUUUUAUCUCUUGCUUUUGGCUAGUUCCUUUAAUAUAUCGAAUUCUUUCAAAAAAAAAAAAAAAGAUAAUUACAUAAAACUUACUACCUCGCGAUGAAAUCCUAAGUUGAAAUCUAGCAAAAAAAUGUCUUAGUAAUUGAACACAUUGAUCAGGCACGACAUAUCUGGUCAGCAUCGAUUUAUUCAAGAAAAUCAACUUAGAAUUUGGCAUCUGGUAAAUUCAAAUAGAUAUUUAUUUUUUUCUAAUUAAACUUCAUUAUAUCAAAUAACCAAUUUAUAACCAAUUUAAUUUAAAAGCUCAAGAUACUAAAUAAAAUUCUAAAAUAUAAUUUAUAUUAUUUUUUAAUACACUUUUUCAAAUAAAAAAAUUUUUGAUCUUGAAAUUUAUAUAACUUUAUACUAUCUUGUGUUUAAUUUUUAUUAAAUAAAUAAAAUAAUGAGAUUUAAAGUCAUAAUCGCUUAGUUAUCAAGAUUUUAAUGUAAAGUAAAAUUUAAUUCAACCCAAAAAUUUAAUAUAUAAUUUAUAAUAUUCUACAUAAAUUAAACCGUUUGAUCGAAUCACUUGCUGCCAAAACAUCCAUACAUUUUCAUCCAAUUAAAGUGAAGCCGACAACUUCUACUUUUCCAAGGGACUUGCUUUGGAGCCCGUCAUUUAACGCUAUUGUUUUGAACAUUCUACGCAGACAAUCGAUCCAAGCAUUUAACGCUAUUGUUUUGAACAUUCUACGCAGACUUCGCUUGCAUACUUCCAAAUCAUCGUUCACAUAAUGUUGCAGAACGCCUAUAAAUACCGUUUGAGCUCUCAUUGUUAUUUCAUCCAUCACCUACGAAAUUCUUUUGCAAGAUAAAAAAAGAGAAAUUAAGUGUGCAAAAUGAUGUCAAGCAAGAUUUCUCUUGCUUUCUUUACUCUUAUAACCUUAUCCCUAAUCCUUCCCUCUCGUGCCCAAGACAACCCACAAGAUUACCUUGAUGCUCAUAAUGCAGCUCGUGCAGCUGUAGGUGUUGGUCCACUAACCUGGGACACCACAGUGCAAGCCUAUGCACAAAAUUAUGCUAACCAACGUGCCGGCGAUUGCAACCUUAUCCAUUCAGGUGGACCUUAUGGGGAGAACCUUGCAUGGAGCAGCGCGGACCUUUCAGGUACAGAUGCUGUCAAAAUGUGGGUUGAUGAGAAGGCUUACUACGACUACAACUCCAACUCAUGUGCCGCUGGCCAGCAGUGUGGGCACUAUACUCAGGUGGUUUGGCGGAACUCUGCUCGCCUAGGAUGUGCUAAAGUGAAGUGUAGCACCGGAGGAAC